ACCAGCUGUGCUUGAAUUUCUGACUCUGACUCUUUCUUCAUCUGAAGGGCAUCAACCCAAGAAGAUCUAUUUGCUGCUUGGGGGUCAGUGUGUCAGUGGUCAAGAAGAUCAAAUCCAGGAUGUGACUGGCUGUGUGUGUUGGACCAGAGAUGACCAACUAAAGUCCUAGGAAGGCAAGUGACGAGAUGAAUUUUUGGGCUUUGGCAUCUGUGGUCUUGUCAAUAUGAAUGUUGAACUUUCUCCGGACAAGUCUGAGGUACUUCACUACCAUCACCAGCAAGGUGAAUGAAUUCAAACGAACUUGUCAUGCCUGUGUGAAGAGAAGAUAAUGCAGUGCUGCCUGCCUUCUUGUCUGUGUGGUAGAAGGCUUCAGAGCCUUUAUCUAUGGCUCUGCUGAACCCCAGCUGGACAGAGCUUUUUGCAGGAUUCCAGACAAGAACAACAUGAGCGAGGCGACAGGCCUACCUUAUCAUAUUCCAUGACG